GGGGGACCUUCGGGCCUCUUGCCAUCGGAUGUGCCCAGAUGGGAUUAGCUAGUAGGUGGGGUAACGGCUCACCUAGGCGACGAUCCCUAGCUGGUCUGAGAGGAUGACCAGCCACACUGGAACUGAGACACGGUCCAGACUCCUACGGGAGGCAGCAGUGGGGAAUAUUGCACAAUGGGCGCAAGCCUGAUGCAGCCAUGCCGCGUGUAUGAAGAAGGCCUUCGGGUUGUAAAGUACUUUCAGCGGGGAGGAAGGGAGUAAAGUUAAUACCUUUGCUCAUUGACGUUACCCGCAGAAGAAGCACCGGCUAACUCCGUGCCAGCAGCCGCGGUAAUACGGAGGGUGCAAGCGUUAAUCGGAGUUGCUGGGCGUAAAGCGCACGCAGGCGGUUUGUUAAGUCAGAUGUGAAAUCCCCGGAGCUAAAGUCAG
rnacentral:rRNA from 1 species